UUAAGCGACUAAGCGUACACGGUGGAUGCCCUGGCAGUCAGAGGCGAUGAAGGACGUGCUAAUCUGCGAUAAGCGUCGGUGAGGUGAUAUGAACCGUUAUAACCGGCGAUUUCCGAAUGGGGAAACCCAGUGUGUUUCGACACACUAUCAUUAACUGAAUCCAUAGGUUAAUGAGGCGAACCGGGGGAACUGAAACAUCUAAGUACCCCGAGGAAAAGAAAUCAACCGAGAUUCCCCCAGUAGCGGCGAGCGAACGGGGAGCAGCCCAGAGCCUGAAUCAGUGUGUGUGUUAGUGGAAGCGUCUGGAAAGGCGCGCGAUACAGGGUGACAGCCCCGUACACAAAAAUGCACAUGCUGUGAGCUCGAUGAGUAGGGCGGGACACGUGGUAUCCUGUCUGAAUAUGGGGGGACCAUCCUCCAAGGCUAAAUACUCCUGACUGACCGAUAGUGAACCAGUACCGUGAGGGAAAGGCGAAAAGAACCCCGGCGAGGGGAGUGAAAAAGAACCUGAAACCGUGUACGUACAAGCAGUGGGAGCCUCUUUAUGGGGUGACUGCGUACCUUUUGUAUAAUGGGUCAGCGACUUAUAUUCUGUAGCAAGGUUAACCGAAUAGGGGAGCCGAAGGGAAACCGAGUCUUAACUGGGCGUUAAGUUGCAGGGUAUAGACCCGAAACCCGGUGAUCUAGCCAUGGGCAGGUUGAAGGUUGGGUAACACUAACUGGAGGACCGAACCGACUAAUGUUGAAAAAUUAGCGGAUGACUUGUGGCUGGGGGUGAAAGGCCAAUCAAACCGGGAGAUAGCUGGUUCUCCCCGAAAGCUAUUUAGGUAGCGCCUCGUGAAUUCAUCUCCGGGGGUAGAGCACUGUUUCGGCAAGGGGGUCAUCCCGACUUACCAACCCGAUGCAAACUGCGAAUACCGGAGAAUGUUAUCACGGGAGACACACGGCGGGUGCUAACGUCCGUCGUGAAGAGGGAAACAACCCAGACCGCCAGCUAAGGUCCCAAAGUCAUGGUUAAGUGGGAAACGAUGUGGGAAGGCCCAGACAGCCAGGAUGUUGGCUUAGAAGCAGCCAUCAUUUAAAGAAAGCGUAAUAGCUCACUGGUCGAGUCGGCCUGCGCGGAAGAUGUAACGGGGCUAAACCAUGCACCGAAGCUGCGGCAGCGACGCUUAUGCGUUGUUGGGUAGGGGAGCGUUCUGUAAGCCUGUGAAGGUGUACUGUGAGGUAUGCUGGAGGUAUCAGAAGUGCGAAUGCUGACAUAAGUAACGAUAAAGCGGGUGAAAAGCCCGCUCGCCGGAAGACCAAGGGUUCCUGUCCAACGUUAAUCGGGGCAGGGUGAGUCGACCCCUAAGGCGAGGCCGAAAGGCGUAGUCGAUGGGAAACAGGUUAAUAUUCCUGUACUUGGUGUUACUGCGAAGGGGGGACGGAGAAGGCUAUGUUGGCCGGGCGACGGUUGUCCCGGUUUAAGCGUGUAGACUGGUUUUCCAGGCAAAUCCGGAAAAUCAAGGCUGAGGCGUGAUGACGAGGCACUACGGUGCUGAAGCAACAAAUGCCCUGCUUCCAGGAAAAGCCUCUAAGCAUCAGGUAACAUCAAAUCGUACCCCAAACCGACACAGGUGGUCAGGUAGAGAAUACCAAGGCGCUUGAGAGAACUCGGGUGAAGGAACUAGGCAAAAUGGUGCCGUAACUUCGGGAGAAGGCACGCUGAUAUGUAGGUGAAGCGACUUGCUCGUGGAGCUGAAAUCAGUCGAAGAUACCAGCUGGCUGCAACUGUUUAUUAAAAACACAGCACUGUGCAAACACGAAAGUGGACGUAUACGGUGUGACGCCUGCCCGGUGCCGGAAGGUUAAUUGAUGGGGUUAGCGGUAACGCGAAGCUCUUGAUCGAAGCCCCGGUAAACGGCGGCCGUAACUAUAACGGUCCUAAGGUAGCGAAAUUCCUUGUCGGGUAAGUUCCGACCUGCACGAAUGGCGUAAUGAUGGCCAGGCUGUCUCCACCCGAGACUCAGUGAAAUUGAACUCGCUGUGAAGAUGCAGUGUACCCGCGGCAAGACGGAAAGACCCCGUGAACCUUUACUAUAGCUUGACACUGAACAUUGAGCCUUGAUGUGUAGGAUAGGUGGGAGGCUUUGAAGUGUGGACGCCAGUCUGCAUGGAGCCGGCCUUGAAAUACCACCCUUUAAUGUUUGAUGUUCUAACGUUGGCCCCUGAUCGGGGUUGCGGACAGUGUCUGGUGGGUAGUUUGACUGGGGCGGUCUCCUCCUAAAGAGUAACGGAGGAGCACGAAGGUUGGCUAAUCCUGGUCGGACAUCAGGAGGUUAGUGCAAUGGCAUAAGCCAGCUUGACUGCGAGCGUGACGGCGCGAGCAGGUGCGAAAGCAGGUCAUAGUGAUCCGGUGGUUCUGAAUGGAAGGGCCAUCGCUCAACGGAUAAAAGGUACUCCGGGGAUAACAGGCUGAUACCGCCCAAGAGUUCAUAUCGACGGCGGUGUUUGGCACCUCGAUGUCGGCUCAUCACAUCCUGGGGCUGAAGUAGGUCCCAAGGGUAUGGCUGUUCGCCAUUUAAAGUGGUACGCGAGCUGGGUUUAGAACGUCGUGAGACAGUUCGGUCCCUAUCUGCCGUGGGCGCUGGAGAACUGAGGGGGGCUGCUCCUAGUACGAGAGGACCGGAGUGGACGCAUCACUGGUGUUCGGGUUGUCAUGCCAAUGGCACUGCCCGGUAGCUAAAUGCGGAAGAGAUAAGUGCUGAAAGCAUCUAAGCACGAAACUUGCCCCGAGAUGAGUUCUCCCUGAGACUUAGAGUCUCCUGAAGGAACGUUGAAGACGACGACGUUGAUAGGCCGGGUGUGUAAGCGCAGCGAUGCGUUGAGCUAACCGGUACUAAUGAACCGUGAGGCUUAACCUU
rnacentral:rRNA from 1 species